AAAACACAAACACUCUAGGCCGGCAUGUGACCUCUACUUGACCUCCUUUUAUUUAUUUUUUCUAUUCUCUCUCCAGAAAUUCCAAAACACCCUACUGCCAUUUCCCUCUCUCUUUCUCUUUCCUCCAUGUCAUUUAGUAGGUCCCAACGGUCAUCCGCCAUCUCGCCGUUCCGUUCGCGGAAGUCACCGGCGCAACCUCCGCCUCCGGCUCCGAAGCCCACCGGACGGCCGUUAACUCCUUCCUCGACGACCUCGUCGAGGCCUCCCUCGAGACUGUCAAGCUCUGCAGCUAGUUCGGGCCCAAGCCCAACGCCUCAUGACCAGCCUGAAACCAGCCGGAGCAAGGAAAACGUGACUGUCACAGUCAGGUUCCGCCCUCUCAGUGCUAGGGAAAUUAAUAAAGGAGACGAGAUAGCAUGGUAUGCCGAUGGAGAUUCGACAGUGAGAAACGAGUACAAUCCUUCAAUUGCUUAUGGUUUUGAUAAAGUAUUUGGUCCGGCAACCACAACGCGCCAUGUUUAUGAUAUUGCAGCCGAGCAUGUGGUUGGUGGUGCAAUGAAAGGGAUUAAUGGGACUGUUUUUGCAUAUGGUGUUACUAGCAGUGGCAAGACUCAUACAAUGCAUGGAGAGCAAAAGUCACCUGGAAUUAUUCCGUUGGCAGUGAAGGAUGUGUUUGGAAUUAUACAAGAGACACCUGGGCGAGAAUUUCUUCUUCGUGUUUCAUAUUUAGAAAUUUACAAUGAGGUUAUCAAUGAUUUGCUUAAUCCAAUGGGGCAGAAUCUAAGAAUACGAGAGGAUGCUCAGGGAACAUAUGUCGAGGGAAUCAAAGUAGAAGUUGUUUUGUCACCUGCUCAUGCUCUUUCCUUGAUAGCAUCUGGAGAAGAGCACAGGCAUGUGGGUUCUAAUAAUUUCAAUCUUCUAAGCAGUCGAAGCCACACAAUUUUCACCCUGACUAUUGAAAGCAGUCCAUGUGGGGAAUAUCAAGGGGAAGAAGAUGUGACUUUGUCCCAAUUGAACUUAAUUGAUCUUGCAGGAUCUGAAAGUUCUAAAACUGAAACAACUGGAUUAAGGAGAAAAGAGGGUUCAUACAUAAACAAAAGCUUGCUUACUCUUGGCACAGUUAUUUCUAAAUUAACAGAUGAAAAAGCAACUCACGUUCCAUAUCGAGAUUCAAAACUCACCCGUUUAUUGCAGUCAUCUCUCAGUGGCCAUGGACGUGUCUCUCUUAUAUGCACAGUGACACCUGCCUCUAGCAACAGUGAAGAGACACACAAUACACUUAAGUUUGCUCACAGGAGCAAGCAAGUGGAAAUCAAGGCUUCUCAGAAUAAGAUUAUGGAUGAGAAAUCUCUCAUUAAAAAGUACCAGAAGGAAAUUUCCUGUUUAAAGCAAGAGCUUCAUCAAUUAAGGCGUGGAAUGAUGGAGAGUCCUUAUAUGGCUGCAUCUACCCAAGAAGAUCUUGUUAAUUUGAAGCUUCAGCUGGAAGCUGGUCAGGUCAAAUUACAGUCACGAUUGGAAGAGGAGGAACAAGCCAAGGCAGCUUUAAUGGGAAGAAUUCAGCGAUUGACCAAGCUCAUCUUAGUUUCCACAAAAAAUUCCAUGCAAUCAAGUCUACCUGAAAGAUCUGAUCAUAUAAGAAGGCAUUCAUUUGGGGAAGAUGAGCUGGCAUAUUUGCCGGAUAGGAAAAGGGAAUACAUGACAGAAGAAGAUGCUGGAAGCUAUGCUUCUGAGCUUUCUGUAGAAGGAAGAGAUGAGAUUACUAAUCUAGAUGAGUUGGUGAAGGAUUUUAAACGAAACAGGAGGCGGGGGAUGCUUGGCUGGUUUAAACUGAAGAAGCCAGAGAAUCCAGUAGGGUCGUCACCUAGUACAGAUAGUGAGAGCUCUGCUGGUGGAUCACCUGCCUCCCGUUCCAAAUUGUCACAAAAUAGGGUCACAUUCAAUGAUAUAAAAGAUGGAAAGAGAAAAUCUAUCAGUAGGAAGGGAGAUGAAACUACAAUCAUUGAUUCAUUUCCAGAAAGAACACAAGCUGGUGACCUGUUUAGUGCUACUAUUGGAGGUCGCCGAUUGCCUCCGACUGGUACCACAAUAACGGAUCAAAUGGAUCUUCUUCGUGAGCAGGUGAAAAUGUUAGCUGGGGAGGUGGCAUUGUGUACUAGCUCUCUGAAGAGACUUUCAGAGCAAGCAGCUAGCAACCCUGAAAAUUUACAGCUGAAGGAACAAAUGCAAAAGUUGAAAGCUGAAAUUAGUGAAAAGAAGCAUCAGAUGCAUGUUCUAGAGCGACGCAUGAUUGGAUCAGUUGAAAUGACGUCAAACACAUCUACCAGCAUUGAAAUGCCAAAGGCUUUAUCCAAGCUCACUACUCAGCUCAAUGAAAAAACAUUUGAACUUGAGAUUAAGUCAGCAGACAAUAGGAUACUUCAGGAGCAACUGCAGAUUAAGAUAUCAGAGAACACUGAGAUGCAGGAGACAAUUCUUCUGCUGCGGCAACAGCUAAAUUCAUUAUCAGAAAAAAGCUCCAGCAAACAGAGAAUUGCUGAAUCUGAGUCUACCACACACAGAAAGAGCAAAGAAGGGAGGAACGAGAUUUGGUCAUUUGAAGAAAUUUAUGCUGAUGAAAACACACCAAAAAGUGUCAUGAGUUUGAAUCAAAUAUUUUCCCAAGAUGACCCCAAAGAGCGCAAUGGCACUAGUUUAUUGAAUUCUCAAGUUCUAAUACAGGCUUCUGAGAUAGAGAAUCUGAAGCAAGAGAAGGUGAAGCUGAUUGAAGAAAAGGAUGGACUUGAAAUUCAAAGCCAAAAACUGGCAGAGGAAGCAUCGUAUGCAAAAGAAUUGGCGGCUGCUGCUGCAGUUGAGCUGCGAAAUUUGGCUGAAGAAGUAACCAAGCUGUCUUAUGAAAAUGCGAAGCUGUCCGGUGAUCUGGCUGCUGCAAAAGAGACACAAUGCAGAUCUAACUGUUGUCAGAGGUCCAUUUCAUAUGAUUUUACACAAAGUAACUCCAUUGGUUCUCUACCUGACGGACGCAUUAGAAAAACUGAGGAUAGUCUUUUGGUUGGGGAGUUGCAGAAGGAACUAAAUGAAAGAUACCAAAGAGAAGCUUCAUUGGAAAUGGCACUUUCUGAGAGAAACAAGGUAGAAGGUGAGCUACGAAAACAACUUGAUGAAGCAAAACAUCAUGAAGAAGAUUUGGAAAACGAGCUUGCCAAUAUGUGGGUGCUGGUUGCAAAGAUGAGAAAGUCUGGUGUUAAUGCUGAGGACAUGCCAUCUGAAGGGGUCUAUGCAUCUACCACUUUUGGAGCAGGUCUUAAAAGUGGAUUUCUGCUAUCUAAUGGUCAUUCUUCUAGAAUAUCCAAAGAUGAAACCUUUGAAAACAUUGAUGGGAUGAAGACAUUAGAAGAGUUGAAAGUAAGCUAUCAGAAAGAGAGAAGAAAAUGCAAACAGCUAGAAAGCAUUAUUUCAAGAUUGAAGGUAUUCUAACUUGGCUAGAUGUUAACUGAAUUGCUACUGUUUGUGUAAGAGUGCAUGCGUGAAGAGAUGAUCAGAGUACACAACAGUUUGAUCGAGUGCCCUAGAUCACCGAAACAAUAAAUGUUCUCCGUUUAGAGUUCAUCACAAGCUCAAUGGCAUAAAUUUUAGCAAUUAGAACAUCGUUGAAGACAUAGAUGGUCUGGAUGUCACAGCUCUUGAAGAUCUACAGAAUUUUCACGUCGAAGCCAUAACUAAAAUCUGCCAUGCAAAGUGUGCAAAUCGUGCCUGAUAGCAUACUAAAUCCAACUUAUGGAAUGCUGCUGCCAUCAGAGCUGCUGACCUAGGUUAGUCCUGACCCUAAUUUCGUCUACUCCUAAGAAGUGUCUGCUGACGUGUUCUAGCUAACCACUUGUUCCAGUGUAAAUUUAAAAUCAAAUCAUUUCUAUAUUUACAAUACUUUGGUAUUUUUUAUGCACAGCCUAAAUUUAUGAAGAUUCAAGCUUAGGGUUUUGAUAAUCUGCCCUUGGCAACAUAACAUUUUGUAAAAUCCAUAAUCUCGGGCUAUCGAUCUCUAUUUACAAUUUGUGUUGA